AUCUGUCUUCACAUGUGCACGCAAAGAGCCUGGAUGGAUUUCCUCCCACGGUGCCGUGGUGGGCACGGGGCUGCGGCCACCAAAGCUGCUGCGUCCCCGCACGGCCCCCUCCUGGUGCUGCCGGUCACAGCCGCAGGCGGCUGCUGGGCCGGAGGGGCUCCCAGCUGGAAGGGAGGACGAGUUGCAGUUAGCAGUUGCAGCCCUAGCCCUGCUAAUGGCUGCUCUGACCAAAACUCCACAUUUCUGCUUUAUGAAAGGCCAAAUCCUGAAGCAGCAGUGAGAGAUCGCGGCCCCGGCACUGCCUUGGCACUCACAGGGCAUAAAUUCACAGGAGAAUUGGGACACCCAAAGAGAGAGAAAAUCAUGCGUGGAGAAACGCGUUUAGUGCAUGCACACAUGCCUGCAGUCUGCUGAAAUGCAAAUCUGCCGUAUUGCCUCCUAAUCCCCAUGCAUGACACACCAAUAAACAGGGCUUUCUAAUGCCUUCCAUCUGUGUUUCAG
rnacentral:lncRNA from 1 species